AUGAACGCUGGCGGCGUGCCUAACCCAUGCAAGUCGAACGGAGUCCAGCCUUUAAGACCUUCGGGUCAAAGAGGGGAAGACUGAGUGGCGGACGGGUGAGUAACACGUGGGCAACCUGGCUCAUAGAGGGGGAUAACAGAGAGAAAUUUCUGCUAAUACCGCAUAAGCACACACUGCCGCAUGGCAGAGGGUGAAAAGAGAAUCGCUAUGAGAUGGACCCGCGUCUGAUUAGCCAGUUGGCAGGGUAAGAGCCUACCAAAGCGACGAUCAGUAGCCGAUCUGAGAGGAUGAACGGCCACAUUGGGACUGAGACACGGCCCAAACUCCUACGGGAGGCAGCAGUGGGGGAUAUUGCACAAUGGGGGGAACCCUGAUGCAGCGACGCCGCGUGAGUGAAGAAGUAUUUCGGUAUGUAAAGCUCUAUCAGCAGGGAAGAUAAUGACAGUACCUGAAUAAGAAGCCCCGGCUAACUACGUG
rnacentral:rRNA from 1 species